GCCUCAAUAGCUCAGUGGUAGAGCGCUUGAUAUGUUGUCAUAUACACUAUCAAAAUGCCAGGGUUCAAAUCCCUGUUGAGGCU